GAGCUGGACUAGAAGUUGACAAGUAUUCGCAGGCAAACAUGGAAAAACUACAGGCCAGCAAAGCAAUCAAAGUAGUCGAUGUGAAAACAACCCUCAGUCCUUACCUGUCCAUCGAUCUGUUUACGCCUCUCGGCCUUAAUGAAUGCACCGGGGAGGCUGCAGAGGCGGCAUGACGGAUUAAAGGAGAUUCCUGUCCGCCUAAAUCCACCUUCAUCCUGACAUCAGCUUGACACAUACCAACCGGAUAGAGACCUGCUUCAGACUGGACUAUUCAAAGUUAUCCAGGCAUAUAAAUCGCUGUGUUGCCCUUGAGCAAGAUCCUUAAUGGCUGCAGAGUUCAGUCUGUGUUAUGACAUGAAAUAAAGGUCAAAAAUUGCUCCUUUGAAAUGGAAAACUUCAGUGUAGUAUUUG